UAAGGGUUUUCCCAAGGGGAAGGGGGGGUUGCCGACCGGGAAGGGGGAUUGGCCCCACUGGGACUGAGACCCGGCCCCAGAUUCCUACGGGAGGCAGCAGUAGGGAAUUCUUCCGCAAUGGACGAAAGUCUGACGGAGCAACGCCGCUUGAGUGAUGAAGGUCUUCGGAUCGUAAAGCUCUGUUGUUAGGGAAGAACAAGUGCCGUUCAAAUAGGGCGGCACCUUGACGGUACCUAACCAGAAAGCCACGGCUAACUACGUGCCAGCAGCCGCGGUAAUACGUAGGUGGCAAGCGUUGUCCGGAAUUAUUGGGCGUAAAGGGCUCGCAGGCGGUUUCUUAAGUCUGAUGUGAAAGCCCCCGGCUCAACCGGGGAGGGUCAUUGGAAACUGGGGAACUUGAGUGCAGAAGAGGAGAGUGGAAUUCCACGUGUAGCGGUGAAAUGCGUAGAGAUGUGGAGGAACACCAGUGGCGAAGGCGACUCUCUGGUCUGUAACUGACGCUGAGGAGCGAAAGCGUGGGGAGCGAACAGGAUUAGAUACCCUGGUAGUCCACGCCGUAAACGAUGAGUGCUAAGUGUUAGGGGGUUUCCGCCCCUUAGUGCUGCAGCUAACGCAUUAAGCACUCCGCCUGGGGAGUACGGUCGCAAGACUGAAACUCAAAGGAAUUGACGGGGGCCCGCACAAGCGGUGGAGCAUGUGGUUUAAUUCGAAGCAACGCGAAGAACCUUACCAGGUCUUGACAUCCUCUGACAAUCCUAGAGAUAGGACGUCCCCUUCGGGGGCAGAGUGACAGGUGGUGCAUGGUUGUCGUCAGCUCGUGUCGUGAGAUGUUGGGUUAAGUCCCGCAACGAGCGCAACCCUUGAUCUUAGUUGCCAGCAUUCAGUUGGGCACUCUAAGGUGACUGCCGGUGACAAACCGGAGGAAGGUGGGGAUGACGUCAAAUCAUCAUGCCCCUUAUGACCUGGGCUACACACGUGCUACAAUGGACAGAACAAAGGGCAGCGAAACCGCGAGGUUAAGCCAAUCCCACAAAUCUGUUCUCAGUUCGGAUCGCAGUCUGCAACUCGACUGCGUGAAGCUGGAAUCGCUAGUAAUCGCGGAUCAGCAUGCCGCGGUGAAUACGUUCCCGGGCCUUGUACACACCGCCCGUCACACCACGAGAGUUUGUAACACCCGAAGUCGGUGAGGUAACCUUUCAGGAGGCCAGCCCUCCCUAAGGGGUCCCCGG
rnacentral:rRNA from 1 species